rnacentral:rRNA from 1 species
CUACGGGAUGCAGCAGUGGGGAAUAUUGCACAAUGGAGGAAACUCUGAUGCAGCAACGCCGCGUGGAGGAUGACGCUUUUCGGAGCGUAAACUCCUUUUAUAUAGGAAGAAGAUGACGGUACUAUAUGAAUAAGCGCCGGCUAACUCCGUGCCAGCAGCCGCGGUAAUACGGAGGGCGCAAGCGUUACUCGGAAUCACUGGGCGUAAAGAGCGUGUAGGCGGAUUAAAAAGUCAGAAGUGAAAUCCUAUAACUUAACUAUAGAACUGCUUCUGAAACUCUUAAUCUAGAAUAUGGGAGAGGUAGAUGGAAUUUCUGGUGUAGGGGUAAAAUCCGUAGAGAUCAGAAGGAAUACCGAUUGCGAAGGCGAUCUACUAGAACAUUAUUGACGCUGAGACGCGAAAGCGUGGGGAGCAAACAGGAUUAGAUACCCCUGUAGUC